GCGGUAAGGCUCCUUCGGGAGUACACGAGCGGCGAACGGGUGAGUAACACGUGAGCAAUCUGCCCUUCUCUUUGGAAUAACCAUUGGAAACGAUGGCUAAUGCCGAAUACGACCUCCCUUCGCAUGUUGGGAGGUGGAAAGCUCCGGCGGAGAAGGAUGAGCUCGCGGCCUAUCAGCUUGUUGGCGGGGUAACGGCCCACCAAGGCGACGACGGGUAGCCGGCCUGAGAGGGUGACCGGCCACACUGGGACUGAGACACGGCCCAGACUCCUACGGGAGGCAGCAGUGGGGAAUAUUGGACAAUGGGCGAAAGCCUGAUCCAGCAACGCCCCGUGAGGGAUGACGGCCUUCCGGUUGGAAACCUCUUUCAGCAAGGACCAAACGAAAGUGACGGUACCUGCCGAAGAAGGACCGGCCAACUACGUGGCAGCAGCCGCGGUAAUACGUAAGGUCCGAACGUUGUCCGGAAUUAUUGGGCGUAAAGGGCUCGUAAGCGGUCUGGCGCGUCCGGAGUGAAAACUCAGGGCUUAACCCUGAGCGUGGUUCCGAUACCGGCAGACUAAAAGGAUGCAGGGGAAAACGGAAUUCCUGGUGGAACGGUGGAAUGGCCAGAUUUCAAGAAGAACACCGGUGGCCAAAGCCGUUCUCUGGGCAUUACCUGACGCUUAAGAACGAAAGCAUGGGGAGCGAACCGGAUUAAAUUCCCUGGUAGUCCAUGCCG
rnacentral:rRNA from 1 species